rnacentral:lncRNA from 1 species
AAAGGAGUUGGGGAUCGAAUCCCUCGGGGCGGCCUUGCCGAGAUGCGAGGAUAGCGGCCUCCUGCCUCAUCGUUACAGCUUUAGUAGUAGACGGACGGGUGUCCUCAUCGAGGAAUCGUCGUCUCAGUUUCGGGCAUCCAGAGAGCUCGAUCUUCAGUGUUGUGUCAGGUCCUCAUCAAGUCACUCCUUCCGUGUUUUUGAAUGGCGUGGUGUUUCCAGAGACCUUCCUCCCUCAUAGCCAACAAGUUGUCUUCCUAUGGAUCAAGGUCUAUGUAUGAAUCAAGAGAUACCAACCGCGUUAAUUCGCAAGUUCUGGUUUCCAAUUACUGAACUUACCUAUAAAAGAUAGUGACAUCGAAGAAAAGGGAAACAAUGAAGGAGUUACCCGUCUUCACAAGUCGAGUCUCAUCCUCUCAACCAGAGUUUGUCAAAGCUUACAUGAUACAUAGUGGUGAGUGGAUGAUUUUUCUUCUUAGACCCGAUUUUGAUAUGUGGAUCGAAAAUCAGAAUCGUAGUACACUUCGGCAAGCCGUAGAAGUACGCAAUAAUCUGAUAUCAUUAAUCUCCGCUUACUUUAGCGCAUUUGGUUGUUGUUUCGCUUAAAAAACAUGACAACAAAGAUGGAAAGGGUAAACGUAUCUAGUUCAAUCAACCUCAAUCUGCAGUUGAACCAGUCUAAAGGUCAGCAAGAGCUCUUGACCAACUGUCUUCACAAUGACCUCUUAAAUUUUCUACUUUGUGCAAGCGAUUUUUGAUAAAAAUUUAGUUUUAACCUCAUGAAUGAGUUUUGGCAAGAUUCUACAAACAUCAUAUCGCAGAGCUCUUCACUUAAAACUUCAAUCCAAAAAAUAUUUUUUUAUAGCUCUUUAUUAUAUUUUUGUUGUAAAAUUUAGUAUAGUUCAACAUUUUAAACUACAUAUUGUUAUACUAAGAAAACGAAGAAAAGCUGCUUUCUACCAAAUAAUUCUGAAUGUUCGUACUCUCAACCCUAGAAGACUAAACGUUCUGGUCUUUUCAUAGAUGCAUAUGCAAAUGGUGCCAUUAUUGUGUAGGCCUAAUAUGGUCAGGUUUUUAGGAAAAAGUAUAUAAAUUUGACAAUUAAUUUUAGAUGAAUCCAGAUGGUUGGAAGAUAUUGGCUGAUAAAAGAUGUGAGCAUAUACAUCACAUUUCAAAACCAUUUGGAUAACAGGACGGGGUUUGAUUUUUUAUUUUUUUAGAAUGUAUAAUCCUUAUAUUUUAUCAAAAUUAAACUUACAUUAAAAUCGACAAAGUUAAGCUAUGCAGUUUAGUUCUGCCUAGAAGCUGUGAACAAUACAAGCACAUUUAAAGCCGUAUAUGAGAAAAAUAUUCUACGAAAUUAGAAAAUUUAAAUCACAUCAUGUUCUUUGUGUUCUUCACCAGAUAACCAUAGAUCCAUGUCAUGGCCACACAGAGAGGCGGGAAAAAAUUUCUUUAUGAAUAUUCUCACAUGGGAUCUUAUGCUUUACUUCUUCUCCGAGGGUCAAUUCUUCUCUUAUAUUCUGCUCGUACAUUGGACUAGUUUUCGAACAACAGAUCUUGGUUUUCAAUGGAAUAAUUUGCCUGGUUUACAUCAUCAAUUUAUAAUGAAGGUGAUAAGUUGUAAUCAUGUAUAUUUUUGUUUCUUCAGUCGGUAGAGUGACAUAAUUCAAUAGUAAUUGGGAGAACACAAUUCAUUGGCAACUAUAGUGUGCUGGGGGAUCUUCCCGAAGCCAUGCAAGAAAAUAGGUAGGUUUCUAUUUAUUUAAUAUGAUAUUGAUUUUUUUCUAAAGGGUCUGCUCUUUUGUACCAUAGGAUUUAAAAUAGUUACUAAGCGUAUGAUAAGGCAACUUGAAGUCGCAAGAGUGUUAUUCUUAUCUUUUACUAGUAAAAGCUCUAGGGAGUAUUUUAUCACGAAUCAUUUAUUUCUGCACGCAAAAAGGAGUCCAUGAGAAUUGGAAUUUCUCUUAUCGACUGGGAAAAAUAUUCAUGAGUUCAUUGUAUGCAUAUAACAGGCAAAACACAAUAAAUUCGUUUCCUGUUUUAGAAGAGACAUUCGGAGACCACGGACUUCGUGAAAUUAUUAACUGUCACCUGACCGCCUAGGUUAAAUUGCCACGCGGUUUCAGAUGGUGAAUCGGGAAAGAGGCGAGGAGUCGGGCAUCACAUGGAGAUCCUGACGGUCGGCUCAGACCUUCGGAUCGAGAACUGUGAUCUGAAGGAUGGCGCCCAGCGAUUUGUGUCGAAAAUAAAUUUAGUCAAUGAAUGCGCCUGCAUCUUCUUACAUAUUUCAUUGAUGGGGGCAUCUGCCCAACGGCCAGGCAAUGAUGUGCCCUCUUUUGGACCACGGGUUGGACCGGUGCAGGGUUCCGGCCGCCGGUUGGCUCGUCGUUAUCUGUAUCAUCUUCAUCAACUUGGUUGUGAAUGAUAGGAGAGCUUUCGUGCCAAGAUAUUCACUACCAGCAUGUAUGGGAAUCACGUCUCCAUCCAUCUGAGACAAGUGGGUCUUGAUCUGACCCGUGACAUAAUGGCGGUCUUGACGAUAAUGGCGUUUAAGACGAUCGUCUUCCUUCCCAGGCCUCUUCUCGCCCCUAUAAGCUAACCUCUGGUGACCGUCCUCAUGCUGCACCGACAGCCUCCGGCACUCCGCACCAUCUCCAGCGCUGCUCGCCUAACUCGGCUAAGAGGGUUUAUGUAGCUGCGCGUCGCUUCCUCGAGGGAAGAGGCCAGCUAUGGGCGCCCAGGUUGCGAUGCUAGUAGUGGCGGCGGCCGCGCUCGUGCUCCUGGCGGUGGCGCCGGUGGCGGAGUCCGUCAUAUCCUGCGGGCAAGUUUACGGAGAAGUGAGCCCGUGUAUCAACUACGUACUCUACGGAGGGGUGCCUCCACCGCAAUGCUGCCAGGGCGUAAGGAAUCUCCUCGCGGCGGCGGUAAGUCGCGCGGACCGUCAGUCGAUCUGCAGGUGCCUCAAGAACGCUGCUCAGGGUAUCUCCGGAACGACCAUCGAGGCGGCCGCCUCCAUCCCGAGGAAAUGCAAAAUCAAGAUCUCAUACAAGAUCAGCCCCUCCACAGAUUGUAGCAGGUUUUCUCUCUCUCUCUCUCUCCUCUUCCCCCUCCCCAGUACACAGAUCAUGGUCUGCAAGGGCCGAAAUUUAUGACGCCGUUGUUUUGUGCAGGGUGAAAUGAACUCUGGAACCAGAAAGGAGUUGGGGAUCGAAUCCCUCGGGGCGGCCUUGCCGAGAUGCGAGCAUAGCGGCCUCCUGCCUCAUCGUUACAGCUUUAGUAGUAGAUGGACGGGUGCCCUCAUCGAGGAAUCGUCGUCUCAGUUUCGGGCAUCCAGAGAGCUAGAUCUUCAGCAUUGUGUCCAGUCCUCAUUAAGUCACUCCUUCCGUGUUUUUGAAUGGCGUGGUGUUUCCAGAGACCUUCCUCCCUCAUAGCCAACAAGUUGUCUUCCUAUGGAUCAAGGUCUAUGUAUGAAUCAAGAGAUACCAACCGCGUUAAUUCGCAAGUUCUAGUUUCCAAUUACUGAACUUACCUAUAAAAGAUAGUGACAUCGAAGAAAAGGGAAACAAUGAAGGAGUUACCCGUCUUCACAAGUCGAGUCUCAUCCUCUCAACCAGAGUUUGUCAAAGCUUACAUGAUACAUAGUGGUGAGUGGAUGAUUUUUCUUCUUAGACCCGAUUUUGAUAUGUGGAUCGAAAAUCAGAAUCGUAGUACACUUCGG